rnacentral:rRNA from 1 species
GAUGAACGCUGGCGGCGUGCCUAAUACAUGCAAGUCGAGCGAACGGACGAGAAGCUUGCUUCUCUGAUGUUAGCGGCGGACGGGUGAGUAACACGUGGAUAACCUACCUAUAAGACUGGGAUAACUUCGGGAAACCGGAGCUAAUACCGGAUAAUAUUUUGAACCGCAUGGUUCAAAAGUGAAAGACGGUCUUGCUGUCACUUAUAGAUGGAUCCGCGCUGCAUAAGCUAGUUGGUAAGGUAACGGCUUACCAAGGCAACGAUGCAUAGCCGACCUGAGAGGGUGAUCGGCCACACUGGAACUGAGACACGGUCCAGACUCCUACGGGAGGCAGCAGUAGGGAAUCUUCCGCAAUGGGCGAAAGCCUGACGGAGCAACGCCGCGUGAGUGAUGAAGGUCUUCGGAUCGUAAAACUCUGUUAUUAGGGAAGAACAUAUGUGUAAGUAACUGUGCACAUCUUGACGGUACCUAAUCAGAAAGCCACGGCUAACUACGUG